UUGAAUGCCAGGCACCCGUCCUCAACUCGCUUACCUUCCAGUAACCUAUCCCAGGAGACUUUCCCCAGUCUGGCCUUCAGUUGGCCAAAGUCGGCCCUCUUGAAGUCCCAGCUUCUAGUGCUCGAUCUGCUGCCCCUCCGCAGUCCCCUGAUAACAAAGCAGAGGAUGGAGUGAUCACUCGCAUCCAGAGCUCCCCUAAUCUGUACUUCAUCUAUCAGCUCCUCCCUGUUGGUCAAGACCAAGUCAAGGAUGUUUUCCCCCCUCGUUGUCUCUCGGACCCUGCGUGUGAAAACCCUCCCGCUACAGCUUCCAGGAAGUGACGUGACCUGGCUGUCACCGCCGAGUGAGUAUCCCAAGUAAUAUCCGGGAGAUUGAAAUCUCCCAUAAUUACUGUGUCUCUCCCAUGAGAUAUCCUCAGAAUCUGGCCUGUCAGGACAUCACCCAGGGUCUCAAGUUGACCUGGAGGGCGAUAACAUACCCCACUGCCAGGUCUGUUUCCCUGCCAAAACCCCUAAGCUUCACCCAGACAGCCUCUGUCGAAAGAAAAAUGUCCUCUUUCCAC